UACAUAGUGUCUCAAGACUGUCCUGGUUGA
rnacentral:piRNA from 1 species